rnacentral:lncRNA from 1 species
CGAGUGCUCUCCGUUGCCAUGGAGAUGACCCCAGCCGGCAGCCCACACUGACCACACCCUCUGAGGCCCUGCUGGGCGCCUGAGGCUGCUCUGAUUAACUCACAGGUCGGGACUUGUGUGUCAGCCAGCCCUUAGGAAGCGGCUUCUGUUUUGCACUUCAAAGGCGCAUCAGGCAGCUAUCAAAGAAAGAAGAGAAACAGUCAAGGCAUGGAUCUCACAGUCCAGAUUGGAGCCAACAAACCUCUGCUGGUCAAAUGAAGCCACAAAGCAGACAAGGAAACUGAGGCUCAAGGACAUUACCUAACAUCUGCAAGGCCACAAAUUGAGAAAACUGGAAAUCAGGUCUAUCCUGUGCUACAUAAGAAUAAGUAGUUGCAAUACAGGCUGAGAGAGGCUGCUGGGCCAUGGUGACCUAACAUGGUCGGAGCUGGGGGAACAUAUUUGCGAUUGCAUCUCACCAUCCCUCCAACCUCCUGCUGUCGCUUUCCAUUGACAAACACAACAGGAAGCCAAGAACAAGGAAGCAGGAAAGCCAGAGGACAAAGUGCGAGCAACGAUGGAGAAGAUGCAGUAACACUGCAGUAAGGUAUGGAUCAUACGUAACUGCAUUGAAAUUUGAACCCUGGUAAUUGAGAUUAUGCUUUCCUUUCACCUAAUAGUCCUUGAAACUGCAAUUAGUGAAAUCUAAGGCUGAGGAAAAAGCCAAUGAGUUUGAACCCUGGCUUAACUUUUUUUUUUGCUCUUUCUAAUAGAAAAUAUGUUCAUUUUUUUCCUACUCAAAUUAUUUAUGCAUUUUCCAUAUUCUGUUCACAUGGCCUGCCUUAUCCAAAUGGGGACCUAUUCUGGCUAUUUAUGAUUUUCCAUAUUAAAAGUAAGAAUUCAUGCUUUUUUUUAGAUCAGACAGAAUUUGAAAUAUUUUUCCUCAAGUGUUUCCAGCCCUUACUUCCAAGAAACUAUCCAGUUUAACCUCAUAGGAACUUUCUGCCUUUUUUCAGUGCCAGAAAAGAAAUGUGAGGUUUCACGAAGUGAAAAUUGCUUUUCCUUCCAUCCAGCUCAUGCCUGCCCUGUGCAGGGGCUUCUUAGACAGGUAACUACUUGCAACUUCCUUUGUUUAAGGAAAUGAGGGUCAAUCCAGUGCUUAGGGUACUACUUGCCUUUGUUCAAGGACUCUCCUUUUAAAAGAGUAACAUGGUGAAGCUUGUGAAGCCUAAUUUUCCCAGGAAUGCAACAUUUGUUUAAAGGUAUUACCGUCAGGAUUUUUUGGUCCUCAGGGUAUAGCAAGUUUCCCUUCUGGUUUUUGUAUGAUGAAUACGAAUGAUCCAGAUGGGGAGUGUAAGUGACAUAACAGCACCAGGACGGAUUGUAAAGGGAUCAGCAACCUAUAAGCUGGUGAAAUGCUACUGUGGCUAAGGAUGGGCCAGGCCUCUUCGCUAAGUGGCUGGCUGCUCUACUAGCUUAGCAUUUAUCCCGUUUACCUCUAUGUUUUUCUAACUUUGUUUGUUUGUUUGUUUUCAUUCCUUGGAGCUGUGAAGGACUGCAAGUGAUAGUUACAAAUAUAACCAAGUAGCUGUGAACGUGGAUUUGUGGCCAUGUUGCUCUGGGAAUUGGAACCCAGCAAUGAAUGUGACCACAGCAAUUGACUUCAAGUCUUUCUCACCUCCUGUAAGUGGGAAACAAAGUAAUGCUACCCACCCGAUGGGGUUGUAAGGAUUCAACUGGAGAAUUUUUGUGAAAUGCUUGGCCCAGACUCUAUAGUCAUUAAGAAUUCUGUUGAUUACAAGCUACAAUAAUUAUAUGCUGACUUCUAAAAAUAAGCUCAAAAUUUUAAAUGUGGUAUAAAACCAUAAAAUUUACCAUUUUAAAAUUUACAAUUCAGUAGUGUUCAGUAUGUUCACAUUGUUGUAAAACAGAAUUCAGAACUUUUUCAUCCUGUAAACUGAGACUUCAUUUUAAAAGAAUAGUUUUAAAUUUACAGGAAAAUUGAAAAGACAGUACAGAGAAUUCUCAUAUGCCCAUCACCCAAUUCCCUCACAUUAACAUCAUGUGGUAUAUUUGCUGUAACUAUUGUUUGCUAAAGCCAAUACUUUAUCCAGAUUUUCUUAGGUUUCCUUUAGCUUUUCUGUUCUAAGAUCCUAUCCAGUGUUCAGCAUGUCACCUAGUUGUCGUGUCUCUUCAGCUUCCCCUUGGAUGUGACAGUUUCUCAGACUCCUCAUUUUUGAUAACCUGGACCGUUUUGAGAAGAACCUGUGAGGUAUUUUGUAGACCUCCUUUCAUCUUGGAUUUAUGUGAUAUUUUUCUCUUGAUUAGACUGGGCUAAGAGUACAUACUAUCAGUAUGACAUUCCUGUUGAUGUUGAUAUUCAUUACCCAGCUAAAAUAAUGUUUGUCAGGUUGCUCACUGUAAUGUUACAAGGGUCUCAAUUUGUGAUUCCCUAAUAAAAUGAUACUGAGGCUCUUUUCAAAUCUUUAUGUGUCUUCUGUAUAUUUUCUUUGGUGAGAUGGCUGUUCAAAUCUUUUGCCCUUUUUUUAAGUUGUUUUUUUUCUUUUUGCUGAAGUUUAAGCUUUUUUUUAAAAAAUAUAUUUUGGAUACAAGGAGCUUAGGAGGUAUGGUCCCUACAUCUGGUAGUGGUAAUUGCCCUCUGAACCCGAGACAAAGGAUUUCCACCUCACAGUGUCACCCUGUUUAGCUAUUCAGGGGUCCCCACCGGUGCAGAUGCUGUGUCCCACACGGUAGCCUGAGGUUGCCCGUCAUGGUGGGUAGACAGCGGCUUCGGAGACUGCUGGGGUUUCCUGCUGAAGAUGGAAGGGGAGCUGAGUACACACAGCUUUUCCUAAAAACCCUUCUUGGCUUUGAUCCUGUUCAUGCUGUUUUACUCAGAACCCUAGAGUACUAGUAGCUUAUAAAGUGGGGACGGUCAGCAUUUCGGAGCCUAAAAGUCAUUAUUUUCUGAGUCACCUCUAAUAAACUCAUUUACUCACAAACUGGACUCAUCCAAGGCAUUCUUUGGACUGUCAGUACCCUCUCAAUCCAGAGGCAGGUAUUUCUUGUGUCUGGGAAAUUCAUACAACACUAAUCUAUUUAUUUUUAAUGUCUCCCACAGAAUGAAAGCUUUUGGUUUUAAUAAAGUCCAUCUCAUGAAUAUUUUCUUUCACGGACAAUGAUUAGAUGAUUUUACAACUAGAAACUCACCAUUAAACACAAGUUCACAUUGCUUCACAGCUUUGCUGUUUUCUGGCAGUUUUAUAGUUUUGUAUUUUAUAUGUAACAUGUAGGUAUGUACAAUCCAUUUUAAGUUAAUUUUUAUGAAAGGUAUAAAGUUAAUCCCUAGUUUCUUUUUUAUAUGUUUUGGGCACAUAGACACCUAAUUUCUCUAGCACUAUUUUUUGAAGACCCUAUUUUCCUCCAUAGUAUUACCUGUGUUUCAUUUUCCAAUAUCAGUUGACUAUAUUUGUGUGACUCUAUUUCUGAAGUAUUUUGUUCCAUUGACCCGAGUCUAUUCUUUAGUCAAUACCAUAUUUCUUUUAUUAUUCUAGUUUUAGAGUAAAUCUGAAAAUCAUAUCAUGUGAGCUUUUCAGCAUUGUUCUUCAAUAUUGUGUUGGCUAGUCUAGGUCUUUUAUACGUCCAUAUAAAACAGCAUCAGUUUGUCAAUAUCUUCAAUAUUGCUUAGAUUUUGACAUGAAUUUCAUUAAAUCUAUGGAUUGAUUUAUGAAGUAUUGCCAUCUUUCUAAUACUGAGUUUCCAAUCCACAAACAUGGAAUAUCUCAUUUAUUUUCAUCUUUUUCUGUCUUUCCACAGAAAGCUGUACUUCUGUGUAAUUGCACUUACAGCUUCAUUAUAGCACUUGCAAUCUCAUGUUGAAGAUGUGGAGAGAAGAGAACCUUUAUAGGUUUGUAGCAGGACUGCAAUUAGUGCAAUUAAUGCAGCCAUUGAUGCAUCAAUUAGUGCAGCCAUUAAUGAAAGCAUGAAGGUUUCUCAAAAAAACUUAAACAUAGACCUAGCAUAUGAUCCAGUGCUAGCUCUACAGUAUAUCCGAAAGAAAUGGAAUCGGUAUGGCAAGGAGGCAACUGCACACACACAUCCAUUGCAGCACUAAUCAUGAUACGCAAGUUGGAGAAUCAACCUGUGUUCAUCAAGAGACAGGUAAAGAAAAUGGGCCCAUGUGUGCACAGUGGAAUAUGGUCUGGCUUCCACAGAGAAGAAAACCCGGGCAUUUGCAGGAACGUGGAAGGAAUUGGAUGACCUUAUGUUAAGUGAAAUAAGCCAGGCACAGAGAGACAAGUACCACACCAUCUCAUUUCUCUGUGGACUCUGAAAAUGUCAAACUCGAGGAAGCAGAGCGGAGUGACAGUUACCAGUCAUGGAAGUGGACGUGGGAGCAGGACUGGGGAGACGUCUGUCAAAGGGUGCAAAAUUUCUGUUAGAUGGAAGGAGUGAGUUCAAAAAAUCUGCUGUGGAACAUGGUGAGGACAGCUGAUAACAAUGUGUUGUAUCCUAAGAGCAGUGCAGAUUUUAACUAUUCUCACCCAAAUAAUGGAUAAGUAUGUAAAAUAAUGCAUUUGCAAUUAGUUUGAUUUAGCCACUACACAGUGAAUAUAUAUUUCAGAACCUAUGGUAGAUACCAUAAAUAUAAUACAUUCUUUCAAUUUAAAAAUAAUUUAAAAGAAAAUCUUUGUAUAUUAAGAUAAAAAUAUAUUAAAAACUUUGUUGUAUUAUUAAAUAAAAUAUUUUUGUCUUUAUGGGACAAUCCAAUCAUCGAAUCAUAGGCUCUAUGUACACAGCAAAAUGCUUUUCAAUGCUUUUGUGCCAUAAGCCACAUAGACCCUGGUUCAACAGGACUCAGAGCAGGAACAGUGGAUUCUACUGAAUCAGCUGCAAUUUCUUGAAGAGUUUCAUAGAAAGAUGAACUGAUCAUAUGAACCAAAGAGAAAAGGGGAUAGAAAAAUAAAUUCAUCAUCUUCAGAAGAGUGAAAUAACCUAGCACAUUCAUAUAUUCUAAAAAUUUAUCUUCUAGUUUUCCACAUAUAGACCUUAAUGUUUUAUUAAGUUUACAGCUAAGUAUUUCAUUUUUUUGUGCUGUAGUAAAUAGCACUUCAAAUUUUAAUUAAAAGUAAUGUUUAGAUUCAAAUUGUUGCCUGGUGAAAUAUGGAAAAGCAAUUUUAUACAUUCACCUUAUAUCCCCUGGCCCUGCUAAAUUUACUUAUUAGUUCUAGAAGUCUUUCUGAGACUUAUUUGUGGUUCUAUAAAUAGACAAUCAGGUCAGUGAGAAUAGAGACAAUUUUAAUUCUUCCUUUAAAAUCUGUACCCUUUUAGUUUCCUUCAUGGGACGGCACCAGUUAGGACUUCUAUGAUGUAAAACAGGGUUGAUAAAAGAAGGUAGCGUCCCUUUCUUGAUCAACUUAGAAGGAAAAUGUCUCAUUCUCAGUGUGAGGGAUUAUGUGUGCUAUAGGAAUUUUUGUAGAUAUAUAGAUUUAAGAAGUAGC